AUGAGAGCCUGAGGUUUCGGCCCCGGUCUGAAGUGGCCACGGGAGCUGGACCCAGGCUGUCGCGCCCCGCGCGGACCUUUUGACAUCGGGGUGUGCGACGCCAAACUGGACGACGCCGAUGCCAUGUCACGGCGCAAACAGGACAAGCCCCAGCCGAGGAAGCGCUCGGUUACCGACGAUGACGACGCCUUUGUACCCAAGGAUGCCGUCCUCAAAGCGUCGCCGACGCGCGAGGAUAAAAAGAACGACACGUUUGUGCGGCUGUUCGAGGACGGCGACGCCAAGCCUCUGACGGUCAAGGAGGA